ensembl:miRNA mir-249 ncRNA
UCACAGGACUUUUGAGCGUUGCC